GGAAGGGGUGGUUUACCACAUAACCCCCAAUGCCCUUCGGGGCUCCUUGGUGAUUCAUAAUAACUUACCGAAUCGCAUGGCCUUGCGCCGGCGAUGGUUCAUUCAAAUUUCUGCCCUAUCAACUUUCUAUGGGAGGAUACUGGCCUACCAUGGUAUCAACGGGGAACGGGGAAUUAUGGUUCUAUUCCAGAGAGGGAGCCUGAUAAACGGCUACCACAACCAAGGAAGGCUCAGGCGCGCACAUUACCCAAUCCCAACCCUGGGAGGUAGUGACAAGAAAUACUGAUACCGGGCUCUUUUGGGUCUUGUUAUUGGAAUGAGUACUUUUAAAUCCCUUAACGAGGAACCUUUGGAGGGCUCUUCUGGUGCCAACACCCGCGGUAAUUCCAGCUCCAAUACCGUAUAUUAAAGUUGUUGCACUUAAAAAGCUCGUAGUUGAACCUUGGGUCUGGAUGACCGGUCCGCCUCACCGCGUGCACUGGUUCGGCCGGACCUUUCCUUCUGGGGAUCCGCAUGCCCUUCACUGGUCGUGUCAGGGAACCAGGACUUUUAC
rnacentral:rRNA from 1 species